GGGUUUCCAACACGAAUGGCAGCACAGCAGCAUCCAACACCUCCUCCUCAAAUGACAGGAGCACGUUAUCCACCUUCUCAAAUGGCUGGAGCAGCACAUAAUCCACCUUCUGGUGCUCCACAUCAAGUGUUUGAGCAUCAACGCCCGCCACUGCCUUCUCAAAUGACAGGAAUGCAUCAACCUUCAUGGGGAUUAUCUCCUCCAAUGACUGGACCUCAUCCUGGAUCGUCACCUAAUACAGGACAGCCUUACCACCCUAAUGCAUCUGAACAUCAUCCUCACGUGAG
rnacentral:misc_RNA from 1 species